rnacentral:rRNA from 1 species
GACGAACGCUGGCGGCGUGCUUAACACAUGCAAGUCGAACGGAAAGGCCCUGCUUUUGUGGGGUGCUCGAGUGGCGAACGGGUGAGUAACACGUGAGUAACCUGCCCUUGACUGUGGGAUAACUUCAGGAAACUGGGGCUAAUACCGGAUAGGAGCUCCUGCUGCAGGGUGGGGGUUGGAAAGUUUCGGCGGUUGGGGAUGGACACGCGGCUUAUCAGCUUGUUGGUGGGGUAGUGGCUUACCAAGGCUUUGACGGGUAGCCGGCCGGAGAGGGUGACCGGCCACAUUGGGACUGAGGUACGGCCCAGACUCCUCCGGGAGGCAGCAGUGGGGAAUAUUGCACCAUGGGCGGAAGCCUGAUGCCGCAGCGCCGCGUGCGGGAUGACGGCCUUCGGGUUGUAAACCGCUUUCGCCUGUGACGAAGCGUGAGUGACGGUAAUGGGUAAAGAAGCACCGGCUAACUACGUG